UUCAUCGAAGUCGUUGGAGUUACCAUCAACAAGACAAGUCCCUGGCAAGUAAUUCUGUUGAAAGUUUUGGAAUCUCUCUUACUGCAGCUGAAAUGGUGAUGGUCUUGCAACAGGAUGAGAUGAAGCCUACUGUUACUUGGAAGUCAUUAAUAUCAAAACUAGAUGCUAACUGGUUUGGAUGGAGUCAAGAAUUACUCAAUGAAAUGAAACAGCAACUUGAUUUAGCCCCAUUUAUG